rnacentral:rRNA from 1 species
GACGUAGGGCGCGAGCGUUUGUCCGGAUUUACUGGGCGUAAAGAGCUCGUAGGUGGUUUUGUCGCGUUGUUCGUGAAAACUCACAGCUCAACUGUGGGCGUGCGGGCGAUACGGGGCAGACUGGAGUACUGCAGGGGAGACUGGAAUUCCUGGUGUAGCGGUGGAAUGCGCAGAUAUCAGGAGGAACACCGGUGGCGAAGGCGGGUCUCUGGGCAGUAACUGACGCUGAGGAGCGAAAGCGUGGGGAGCGAACAGG